ACCACCUACCACUCUCAAACUCGAAAAAUGGCAACAGCAGAAACCUUAUCACAAGGUUCUACUUCUAGUCUCAUUUUCAAACCAACUACCAAGCUCCUCCACCCCUCAACACUCUCACACGCUUCAAAGCUCUCAUUCCCUCUCCAAUCCUUCUACCCCCGUCGCCUCUCUCUUCCUUACAAAAUCCCCACAAAUAAUCAUCAUUUGUCAUGGCAAGGUGAAGGCCUCUCUCAGUUUCACCGUUUAUCAAUUAUUAUCUAACAUGUCCUCAAUUAAUAUUCUUAUCUUCUCAAGCUGGAUGGUGAAGUGCCCGAGGAGUUUAAUGAGGUUUUCUUUGAUGAUAAUCAUGACAUGAUGGACGGGGAAGAGGAAAUGAGUGAUGAGGAUGAGACAGAGAGCAGUAAUGAUUUGCUUAUCAAGUUCUUGCAAAGCAUGUUCAAGAAGCUAUCUAAGAAAGCCAAGAAAGCUUCUCGCUCUAUGUUACCUGCUGCUGUAAUAUGACCCCAAUUGGUGUCUUUUGCCGUCGAUGGGAUCCUGCUACUGGAUGCACUUUCUAUUGUUAAUGCACUUCUUGAGGUAUCCCUUUACCGUUGCCAAUCUUGAGUGGCUUUAGAUGCCUUCAGUGUUAAAAAUGCACCAGGACCCGGAACAUGCAUGAUAUGUGCAGGAGGGGUGCAAGAAUAUACAUAGGAGUCAUCUUAAGAUUACCACUCCCCCUUGUAUCCUUUUUUUCUUUUUUCUUUUUUGAGAAGGUGUUCUUCAAUCUGUUUGGGAAUGAAGAGAUCUCCUAUUUAACUACACUUUCUGUUAGGAACAAUAUAGAAGAUAAUAUAAGCACAAUCAAAUAUC